GACGAACGCUGGCGGCGUGCUUAACACAUGCAAGUCGAGCGGUAAGGCCCUUUCGGGGGUACACGAGCGGCGAACGGGUGAGUAACACGUGGGUGACCUGCCCUCAGCUCUGGGAUAAGCCUGGGAAACCGGGUCUAAUACUGGAUAUGACUCCAUGACGCAUGUUGUGGGGUGGAAAGCCUUGUGCGGCUGAGGAUGGGCCCGCGGCCUAUCAGCUUGUUGGUGGGGUGANGGCCUACCAAGGCGACGACGGGUAGCCGGCCUGAGAGGGCGACCGGCCACACUGGGACUGAGACACGGCCCAGACUCCUACGGGAGGCAGCAGUGGGGAAUCUUGCGCAAUGGGCGAAAGCCUGACGCAGCGACGCCGCGUGAGGGAUGACGGCCUCGGUUGUAACGUACUU
rnacentral:rRNA from 1 species